rnacentral:rRNA from 1 species
UACGUAGGGUGCGAGCGUUAAUCGGAAUUACUGGGCGUAAAGCGUGCGCAGGCUGUUUUGUAAGUCAGAUGUGAAAUCCCCGAGCUCAACUUGGGAACUGCGUUUGAAACUACAAGACUAGAAUAUGUCAGAGGGGGGUAGAAUUCCACGUGUAGCAGUGAAAUGCGUAGAGAUGUGGAGGAAUACCAAUGGCGAAGGCAGCCCCCUGGGAUAAUAUUGACGCUCAUGCACGAAAGCGUGGGGAGCAAACAGGAUUAGAAACCCCCGUAGUCC